UACGUAGGGGUGCAAGCGUUAAUCGGAAUUACUGGGCGUAAAGCGUGCGCAGGCGGUUGUGCAAGACAGAUGUGAAAUCCCCGGGCUCAACCUGGGAAUUGCAUUUGUGACUGCACGGCUAGAGUGUGUCAGAGGGGGGUAGAAUUCCACGUGUAGCAGUGAAAUGCGUAGAGAUGUGGAGGAAUACCGAUGGCGAAGGCAGCCCCCCUGGGAUAACACUGACGCUCAUGCACGAAAGCGUGGGGAGCAAACAGG
rnacentral:rRNA from 1 species